CCAAAUAUUUGUUUAGAAAACAUGGCAGCAAAGAAUUUCAUUGUUUCUUUGCAUUCCCUCUUCCACCACAAGUUAUUGUAUUCCAACUGGGAGAUCUGAUCAAUUGCAAUGAAAGAUUGGCAAUCAAUGUCAUCUUAGAAAAUGAGGCGGAGCCACAUAGAGUUGGCUAUCUCGAGAAAAAUGCUAAUUCUGUUUGUCUGCAACCGAAGUGGCCUGAAGCAUUUUUGGCUAGAAGUCAUAUUUUGUAUGAAAAG
rnacentral:lncRNA from 1 species